AGCGAACGCUGGCGGCGUGCCUAACACAUGCAAGUCGAACGUGAAAAGGGAAACCUGAGUAAAGUGGCGUACGGGUGAGUAACGCGUAGGUAAUCUACCCCAGAAUCUGGAAUAACCUGCCGAAAGGCGGGCUAAUACUGGAUAGAGCGAGGGAACCCGUAAGAGAGUUUUUCGGGAAAGGGAGCCCGCAAGGGCCUUCGUUCUGGGAUGAGCCUGCGUCUCAUUAGCUAGUUGGUAAGGUAACGGCUUACCAAGGCGAUGAUGAGUAGCUGGUCUGAGAGGAUGGUCAGCCAAACUGGAACUGAAACACGGUCCAGACGCCUACGGGAGGCAGCAGUGGGGAAUCUUGCGCAAUGGACGAAAGUCUGACGCAGCCACGCCGCGUGAGAGAAGAAGGCCUUCGGGUUGUAAAGCUCUGUCGGAUGGGACGAACAUCUUCAUAGUGAAUAGCUAUGAGGACUGACGGUACCAUCAAAGGAAGCACCGGCUAACUCCGUG
rnacentral:rRNA from 1 species